CCGGUGGCUGCAGCUCCAAUUAGACCCCUAGCCUGGGAACCUCCAUAUGCUGCAGGUGCGGCCCUAAAAAAACAAACAAAAAAAAAGAUAAUACCGUCAUCCUCAAAAGUUCCCUCAUUCCUCUUUGCAGAGGGGGAGCUACUUUAGAUAGAAUUUCUUUUUAGGAAAAAUUGUCUGAAAAAGUGAUGUUUGAAUUCUAUGACAAGGAGAAGCCAUCCAAGGAAAGAGAAUUCCAAGCAGACAGAUGGGACAUACAUACAGUGGUGCUGGGACAUGACUGAGCUUAUUAUGUGUCAAGGCAGAAAGAAGACUGCUCCGACCACAAUGCACUGUGUGAGGGGAAAGUGGCAACAUCCUGUAGGACCUUGUAAGCCAGAGUGAGAAUUUAGAUUUUAUUCUAGACACAGUGGGGAAUCAUUAGAGGCUUCUGUAUAUAGAGGAGUAACAAAAUCUGACUCACUUUUUAAAAAGUCACUUACACUUAUGUCUGAGAAGAUAACUCAAUGAUUAAAAAGGUAUAUAACCUAGUUUAAAAGAUGUCAAAAGUUUUGUAUAUUUUUCUAAAGAAAAUAAAAGGCUGUAAAGCUCUUGAAAAGAUGCUCACUAACUCGUCACUGGGGAAGUGUAACUCAAACCCCCAGCGAGAUGCCGCUUUACGCCUGUGGGUCUGGUUACAACCACAGAAGACAAGAGCAAGUGUUGGCGAGAGUGCCGAGAAAUUGGAACUCUCGUACACGCUGGCGAGAUUGAAAAACGCUGCAGCAACUUUGGAAACCGUUUGGAAAUUGCUCCAAUGUCAAACAUGGAGUUACCUCUGGCCCAGCGAGUCCACUUUUGGGUGGACACCCAAGAGAGCAGAAACCGUAUGUCCGCCCACUGGUGGAGCAUGACCACUCACGGUAGCAUUGUUCCCAAGAGCCAGAAGGUAGGAAUAGCCCUGGUGUUCCUCCGGUGAAAAUGCACGUAAGAUGUGUUGUAUCCAUGUGAAGUAUUUAGCACUGAAACAAGACGAGGUGUUGACAUGUGCUACAGCAUUCAAUGUAGCUUAAAAACAGAAUGUGCUAAGUGAAAAAAGCCCGUCACAGAAGACCACCCAUUCUAUGGCUGCAUUUAUACAGAAUGCCCAGAAUAGGCAAAAACGUGGAGACACGUGGGUUAGUGGCUUCUAGGGGGUUGGUGGAGGGAAAAGGGAAGUGACUGCUAAUGGGCGUGGGGUGCCUUCUGAGAGGGUGAUGAGUACGUCUAAGGUCAGAUGGAGAGGGUGUUGGCACAAGUCUGUGAACCUGCUCAGAGCACUGAACUGGCGCUUUGAAAGGGCGGGUUUUACGGUGCGUGAGUCGUGUGUCAGUCAGGCUAGUAUUGCCAGCCUCGCUGGGGCUGCUCUAUGGCGAAUGGGCUGUGCCAUGACUGUGGGCAAGGAAAAGCUGAGGGUCGCUCGGAUUAGGUUGGUGGCGCAGCGAGGAGAGAACCGGAGAUGGGGCAACUGGGGAGAGGAGAGAGACUCUGCCUCGGGAGAGGGCUGCUCCUCUGUGUGCUUCAGGAAACCAGACCCUGGGGUCCCCGUGGGAAAUCUUUUGCCCUCCGCUGCUGACUCUGAGAUGCUGUCUCUGUGGAAGCAGCAAGAAAAGUGCCUUGGAAGUGGUAGUAGAGUCGUUUUCGUUUACUGGAAGUUCCGACAGGACGUGCCUUGGUGCUCCAGGCUGUGUUCAGUUAGCAGGUGGAUCUUCUUACUUUCUCGCCGAGGGAACUCCGUCGUUUUGACGGGGGCUUUGACCUAGAGCCAUCCGGCAGUUCUCAGAAGCCAGAGCAGCUGAGAGUCCUUGUGUCCAGAAAUGGGGGGGGCAUGUGUCUUUCUUCUGACUGCACAACAUGCUGGUGGGAACGACGGCGCGCCCUGCGGCCGAUGCUUCCGGGGGGUUGCCGGCGCCUCUCCUCCUCUUCACUGUGUCUCUGGAGACCUGAGCUUCUUCGGGGAUGACGAGGUGGGCCGAGCUCAGUUGUCGUCCCUCAGUCGUCCUUCCAGCAACCAGGUCGCCUCAUCCAGGAGCCCCCCCACCGACUCCUGCCCUCGGCAGAGUCCGCGAGGCAGCUGGCGGUGCUGCCAGAGCUGGGGCUUUCUCAGUGUCCUGGCUAAGACGCAAGCGACGCAGACCGGAGGAAACGUGAUCUCACUCGGUUCAUGUCACGAACCAGGUGUUCCCUGUGUGAGCCGCUUCUUGUAAUCACACCAGCUCCUCCUUCCUUCCUACCUACUGGUCAUUGGUGCGCACAUGUUAAAAACAUUCAAGUAACUUGCAGUUGUUUCUUGCUCCCAGUAAGUAGGAAAAUUCCAUUGGAUGUUCUUUUACACACGUUAUUUCUUUACAUCUUCCUGGUGACUCUAGAAUAGGUAUUUUCAGAUCUGUUUCAUUUAGGAGAAAAAUCAAAGUUCAGAGACUUAGGCGACUUGGUUCUGUUGAUACCUGAGUCUGGAGGGAGAGGCCGUGGAGAUGGUUUUGUAGGGCCAGCUGUCAGGGCCACCCCUUCGAGCCGCGAUGCCUUCACGUGACUCCCCUGUCCUCUCCCCAUUCUCCUCUGGGCUCUUUGCAGAGCUCCUUUUGAGACCCUGGAUUUUGGCUUCCAGAUCCUGAUAUGAAAUAGCAAAGAAGCAGUGUAGUGUAAUCUCAGAGAACUGCACUGAAAUCUAGGCCCAACUGUGUCACGAAAUAGUUUCAUGGCUUUGAACAAGGUGUGCCUCGAGUGAAAGGUGGAACGAGGUGAUCCUUGGUACAGUGUUUCCUCCUUCCCUGUGCGCACGCACACACAUGCACACACGUGCACACACGCGAGCGCACACACACGCACACAUGCACACACAUGCACACGCGCGCCAUUUCCGUGAUUAUUCCAGCUUUGGCCUUGUACUCUGGUCACAUCUAGAAACUCUGGCCUUCAUGCAUCCACCCAGCAGUUAUGGAUAAAGAUGUGCAGUAGAGCAGCCCCAUAUUAGCCGUGAUCGGUGGCGGGUUAUAGAGAAAUACCUACUUUGGGGGUUGACAGAGUGAGUAAAAUGAGAAAAUGGGUCUGCAGAUGCUCGGAACCCUGAAGGACAGAGUGGAUGCCCCCUGUCCUUGAGUGAGGUCUGAAGUUAGAUGUCCAGACACCCCAAGAAAAGGGAACUGCACACGGAGACACUUCAGCGCUCUGAGUCAGGAAAGUGUGUUGGUGAGAUGCGGUCUGUGCGGUGAACCCGCGCUCCCCUGACUGUUUCCUCUUGGUUGGGUGCUGAUGGCGCAUCAGUAGAAAUGGGAACAUGAGGAAAUGGAAUGAGCGACACCGCAUUAUGAGCGGGGUUCCCUCGCAGGUUCUUACUGCAUCUGCCUCAGGGACGGAAAACCCCUGUCCCAGGCCUCUUUUCCCGCCGCCUUAAGCUGCGCUUUGGCUCUGCCCAGUCCUCCCUCCUGCCUUUACCAACCACAGACGCCUGAGAAGGGAGGCAACUUUCUGGCACAUAUCAGGAAAUAACUGCAAACUGUUGUUUCGUUAUAUGUGACACAAGGAGUGGAAAUAGUGAGAUACGACUCUGGCAGUUCCUAAAUUUGACCACACUUGCUGUCUUCUUGGGAAUUGUUAGACCCACGUAGUUUUCCUUGGCAAGCUUUUGCUAACACCUCCUCUGUGCCAGCAUCAAUAUAUAUUGACUUGCAGAAUCCCUAUUUUAAAUAAGUGUAGCUGGGUCUUAAGAAAGUCAUAUUGGAAACCAGUGAUGUAAACUCUGCGUCUUGCAUUGUUCUCCUUAAUGCCCUUGAGGAUUGAUUUUUUGAGGAAAUGUUGCAGUUACAAGUGAGAAUUUCUGAAUCUCAGUAGUGACUGACAAGGAGACAGACAAAGCAGGAACAUUCAUGGAUGUUAAGAAGGUAAGAGAAACGUGGCAAACUCUUAGCGCAAAGAAACACAGACGCCUGUGGCGGUGACGAGACCCAAGGCAGGGCUUUGACUGCAAGCUUCCGAGGCGUAGUCUCAGGCCAGCGGAGGCCAGCGUGCUCCCUUGGCUGUAGGCCGACAAGCAGACUCGCCAUCACAGUGUUGCUUUCGUGCUGCCACCUCUUGAGGUGGCCUCGACUUGACCAGAUAUGUCAACAGACCAUCUUCUGAGAAUGCGUGGCCCUCCGCUUGCUGAAAUGGUUCCUGAAUCAUCUUAGCUGUUGCCCAGACAGCUAACCAAGAUUUAGCAGUCUAGAAAGUCCCCAGGAAGCCAUGAGAUGUCGUUAGCGUUGCCGAGGUCCCCUGUCCCCGCCGUAGGAGCAAGAGUCAGGUGGGAAGGAGGGCGCUGGACACGGGGAGCGGAAGGUGUUCAUUCCUGAGGAGCAGCGGGAGGCAAGCCCUGCUCUGUCCGUGAGCUGGAAUGCGGAGCAGUGGCGUUGGAGCCUUGGCAUCAGCCCGGCCGGCGGCACGUGGCUGAACCGGGCCGAGGAGCCACGCUGACGGAGAGCGGGUCCUCCCAGUGACCGCGCCCAGGCCAGCGACCCGCCGCCGCCGCCGCUGCCGCCGUCCAGGAAAACAAGAUCCUGGCCGGGAAACUUGGCACGCAGACGGGCUCCCGCUCUUUUCUUCGUUUCCACUGUUCGUGUUCUGUGUCGUGUCAAGACACACACAGGACUUACAUUUUACGAGUCCGUUUCCAAUUCCGGGCGCUGUUUUGCUGCCGCAGAGAGAAGAACAUCGGACGGGCGUCCUUUGGGGCGGUGAAGACUCCUCACGAGGGAUUGUUGGAGAAACGCCAAAGUCAGGGGCGCCCUGGUGCCCUUCCGCGUGACCAGUCGCUGGGUGUGUCUAGUUCUUCAUCUUCCUGCCUUUACUCGGGGAGAAGCUGUGAUCUACUGGCUUCAGAGCAGCAGUGGAAAGAGCGUGACCCGUGGAGACUUUAGGGAAGCUGGAAGUUCGGGUCUGGCUUGAGCCGGGCGUCCUUGGGCAGCCUUGUUUCUCCACCCUUAACACAAGCAAACGGAAGCGCUGUCUCGAGAAGAGGGGAGGCCAGGAGGUGGCGCUCUUGCCCUGACCCCCACUGCAGAGGUAGCUUAUCUACAGUUUGCCGCAUACCCCUGUGGACAUUUGUGUAAAAUUAGGGCAGGACGAUCUCAGAACACCCUCGUAAUACUGUGUGUAAAGCCGUCCCUAUGACAGCGUGUGUAAAUCUACCUCGUUCUUCUUCGUAGCAGCCUCACAGUACUUCGUCAUCACACUGGAUUGACGGAGGGACGUUAACCAAUCACCUUUGGGUGGAUGGGUGAGCUUUUCUAGAGUUUCGCUGUUAAAAGCGACCCUGUAACGAAAGUCAGUUAAGCAUAGAUCUUAGGAAACAUGCAUGAGAUUUUAGUAGCUAGCUGUCUGCAAAAUGGGUUUGCUGGGUCAAAGAGCAUCAGGAUUUGUCUAUUGAGAGUAAUGCCAAAUUGCCCUCAAGAAGGUGUUACAUACUGCAGUUAUUCUGAGAGCAUUUGAAAUACAAAGGCAUUGAUUGCAAUAGUGAUGCCAGUUCCGCUUCUUUUUGGGUUGUAUGACGAAAAAAUUAAGUGUUCAUUGUAUAAAAUUUGGAAAUGGGAAAAAACAACAAGCAGAAUGAUCUUUCCACCAAAGUUUCUUCACGUUCCUUUCAUUUGUUUAUUAAAGACUGUGGAAACUGAAGGCAAAAAAAAAGAGGAGGUGAGGCAUUUGCGUGUGACUGAGCUGCCAGCUGAAUGCCAGCCAUUCUCGUGGCGCACCCGCUUUGCUUAAAAGAAGAACUUGGACAUCUGGCAGACACUUAAACGAGGCGAGGCUGUCGAAUCUAGAAGGACAACCAGCAGAAGUAUUUGCUGUAAAUGAGACAUUUAAACUUUGAAGUGAAAGCUGGACUUACGGAGAACUUGCAUCUACUUACAUGAGCUGAACAUCUUCCUGAUUCGCAAAGACUUCAGAGUCGCUCGUUCCCAUGCUCUCUCCCACCUAAAGGUGGCCUUGGGUUCCCUCGUGGCUCAGCAGGUUAAGGGUCUGGUGUGGUCACUGUUGCCACUCCGGCUGCAGCUGUGGCCCGGGUUCAGGCCCCGGCCUGGACCUUUUGCCUGCCACAGGCACAGCCAGAAAUAAAUAAAUUUUGAAAGGUGACUUUGCCUUAAUAGUAAAUGUGAGAUGUCUGGAAGGGGAAAAGCCAGGACCCCAGACUCUCAGAGUUAGAGGAAACCUCUGAAGUCCUCCAAUUCAGCCUCCCACCUAACUCGGGAUUCUCCUUAAGAGUAUCCUCUGUAAAUAGUCACCUGUCCCUUGCUUGAAUUCUUCCAGAGUCGGGGAGAUUGUAGCCUUCCUCCCAUUUGCGAUGGCUCCAAUUGCUAAAAAUGCUCUUUUUUAAAAUUUUAAGUCGAAAUCUGCUCCCCCCCUACUCCAGUGUCUGUCCAUUGGCUGUAAUGUUGUAUCUUGUUUCACCUAAAAUCUUUUCAUAGAGCUGUUGAUAAUCUUAACCCUCCAAUCUUUAUUCUGUGGCUCUCUCUGGGAUUGGACAGUCUCUAAGGCCCCAAUCAGCUUGGACUCCCUCUUGAUCCGUUUCAGUUUAUGGUACUCUUGCUAGAACGGACUCACACGCUGGGCGUGGUCUGGCUGGGGCAGGAUGCAGUUAGUUACGCUCCUGCUUCCCUUGAAAGGGAACCACACGCUGACCUGACUUGUCGAAGACGAGGGAUUGCAUUUUUCCAAAAUUCUUACAUUCUCCGGUGGCCUCAGUGGAGGCUGAAUAUUACUCCUUAUCCAGUCUCAGCACAGGUGGACCCAAACCUCAGGACAUAAUGGCAUGUUGGGUAAUGGGAUUUUUUCAGUUUUUGCUUGUUUGUUUUGUACUGAGGAAUAAAGACGGUAAUUCACAAGA